rnacentral:SRP_RNA from 1 species
GCUGGAUGUGGUGGCAUGUGCCUGUAGUCCCAGCUACUCGGGAGGCUGAGGCUGAGGAUCUCUUGAGUCCAGGAGUUCUGGGCUGUAGUGCACUAUGCUGAUCGGGUGUCCGCACUAAGUUUGGCAUCAAUAUGGUGGCCUCCCGGGAGCAGGGGACCACCAGGUUGCCUAAGGAGGGGUGAACUGGGCCAGGUUGGAAAUGGAGCAGGUCAGAACUCCCAUGCUGAUCAGUAGUGAGAUCGUGCCUGUGAAUAGCCACUGCACUCCAGCCUGGGCAACAUAGCUAGACCUGUCUCUA